rnacentral:rRNA from 1 species
AGCGAACGCUGGCGGCAGGCCUAACACAUGCAAGUCGAGCGCCCCGCAAGGGGAGCGGCAGACGGGAGAGUAACACGUGGGAACGUACCCUUUGGUUCGGAACAACCCAGGGAAACUUGGGCUGAUACCGGAUAAGCCCUCACGGGGAAAGAUUUAUCGCCGAAGGAUCGGCCCACGUCUGAUUAGCUAGUUGGUGAGGUAACGGCUCACCAAGGCGACGAUCAGUAGCUGGUCUGAGAGGAUGAUCAGCCUCACUGGGACUGAGACACGGCCCAAACUCCUACGGGAGGCAGCAGUGGGGAAUAUUGGACAAUGGGCGCAAGCCUGAUCCAGCCAUGCCGCGUGGGUGAUGAAGGCCCUAGGGUUGUAAAGCCCUUUCGGCGGGGAAGAUAAUGACGGUACCCGCAGAAGAAGCCCCGGCUAACUUCGUGCCAGCAGCCGCCGUAAAAC